rnacentral:rRNA from 1 species
CAGUAGCCGCGGGAAUACGUAGGGUGCAAGCGUUAAUCGGAAUUACUGGGCGUAAAGCGUGCGCAGGCGGUUAUAUAAGACAGAUGUGAAAUCCCCGGGCUCAACCUGGGAACUGCAUUUGUGACUGUAUAGCUAGAGUACGGCAGAGGGGGAUGGAAUUCCGCGUGUAGCAGUGAAAUGCGUAGAUAUGCGGAGGAACACCGAUGGCGAAGGCAAUCCCCUGGGCCUGUACUGACGCUCAUGCACGAAAGCGUGGGGAGCAAACAGGAUUAGAUACCCGGGUAGUCCCUGUCUCUUAUAC